UUUUUCCUACUGGAUUUUUUCUAAUGAGGUUUUUAACAAGGCAUGACUAUGAUAUAGUAAUGUCAAGAAGAUUAUGCCCAGAAUCCUCAAGAUUAUAU